UUUGCAUUCCUGUUCUCCCGUGGUGUGGGGUAAAAUAAUACAAUUCCAUUCAGAUCCAGGACUUUGGGGGAAAUGAAGAGCCAGGAAGUCCAGACCCUCAUAGGGCAGCGAUUUUUGGCUAAAAGCAAGUCCGAUGGAGAGUGUGGAUUCAAUUUACGUGAAUUAUUUAUGCUCUGUCUUUAUAAUCAUAUGAUGUGUUGGGGGCAUUUUUUUGUGCAUUUAAUAAUCAAAUGCCUGCUAUAGUUCAGUGGCAGGAGAUGUCAAUGCAGGUUGUGCCCUGGGUUGUGCGUGACUCCAAGGAGGGUCCCUAGAGAUGGUGGCCUUCUUUGGUGACAAGGCUGAUAAUAAACCCUUCAGCCUGGCAGGAAGCAGUGGGGAGCCAGGCCUUGUAUCCAUGCCUGUGAAUGCCUCCUUUUUUGAACAGGGUAGAGACGUCCUAAAGAAAAGGAAUAAACAAGAGGUCAGACGGGACUCUCAAGGCAGCAGCCUACAUACACACACACACACACACACACACACACAGACGCACACACACACGCACGUACACACACACACACACACACACACACACACACAACCACAAUAUAAGCUUUAGAAAUAGCCACUUGCCUAUUCCCUGGGGCAAGUAAUGGUUUUAAGCUAGAGGAGUCUGAUCGAUGCUCUUUUGUUCAUUUAACUACCAGUAUACCUCGCAAGGGAGUUUUUUUAAACAAAAUGUGCGUGAGCUGUUACAAACUUCUGUUCAUGUUUCCACAUCUGACUUAUGCAUAUCUGAUAUGCAGAGAUCCUACAUUGUGGGUGCAGGUCGUGUUCGGGGGAGGAAGGAAGAUCUGCGUUGUCCGUGGUCAGGUCCUCUCACUCGGCAGAGGGUGGGCAGAGAGGACGGUGUGAUCGGGCCACAGGCCAGGCCCCCGUGUCUCCAACCUGCUCGGCUCAGACGUAGAACUGUGGUGGCUUCCUUCCUUCUUGGUUUAGCUUGUCUCCGAGGCCUCGUGCCGCUGUUGAGAACCGUAGUGGAAAUGUCAUCAACACUGAACAUGUCAUUCCCCUUUCCUUGUCCUGCCCGUACCUUCACUCCCCACACGUCCCCUCCCCCCACCCCUAUGGUCUUGGUGCUAAGAUAACUUUAGAAUCAUUGCUGCUAGUUGAUAGCUUUUCAUUAUAUAAAUAUAUUAUAUAUAUAUAUAUUAUAUAUUAUUUUUGAAACUUUUUCGUUUGUUUUCAACAGUGAUGUAGCAUGUUAAAAAAAAAAAAAAAAAACAAGAAACAAAAAAAAAACAAACCACCCGGUUUUCUCCAACUGUCCCACUGCCAGGCCUCAUAUGCUGCCUUGUUCAACAAAUCAAUGCACCCCUGCCUGGUGACAUUCACCACCCACCCCCCCCCUCCUGGCCCCCUUCCCAGUCCCUCGUACUUCCCCACCCUCCUCUGAACAAGGAGAGAGCAGAAACUAGCAAGGAAACACCCAAAGCUCUUUCUGAGGCUUCGGAAUUCCCAGCCUCAAACCAUGUCCGUACUUCAAGCUGAUGUGUUCCCUACCCGCCCCCCCCCGCCCCCCACCCGCCCUCCGCCGCUCCUCCCAUCCGGGUCAGUAUUUGUGGUCAAGUGGGAUGCCUUUGCAAAGCACAAGGUUCCACCCUACCCUCCCGGACAUUCUGUCCGCCACACACAAAAACUAUCAUGCCUGUGGGAGCUUUCUUGGAACAUCACGCGGACUAAGGGAGGACAAAGACACCCCCUGCCAUCCAGUAUCUGUGGAAGCUGAGGGUAGCCCAGCCCCGUCUACAGCUCUCGCCACAUCAGAAUCCCCACGUUUUGCCCACCCCGUCGGACAGGAGAGUCCAGGCAUCCAAAACACCAGGUCCUACGCCCAGUUUGUGCAGAGGGUUCCGGGGACACUGGACCUCACGCCCCCCUCACCCCUUCAAGUGGCCACCCUAGCCAGGUCAGCCUGGGACAGCCAAAGCAGGGAGGCCAGGCCUCCUUAGGUGAGAAAGGCGUGUUUGGACAGCAGGGGACCCUGGGACGGUCCCAUUGCAGACACCAGCCUCCUGGGAGUGGUCAUGGGUUCUGUGCUGGGUCGUGGGUUCUGGCCUUGUUUCCUCCUCAUAUCUUGAGGAAGGAAGAUUUCCUCCAGAGACACGUGGGGCCCUUCUGCUUGGAGGGAGACCUCUCUCCUGGUCUCUGCUCACAGGGUCCUUACGCUGAGUGGAUGGAGCUGUGAUAUUUUAAGAAGCCUUUGAGGUGAUCCUUGUGCGUUAGCCAGAGGGAGGAAAAAAAGUGCCCUUUUGGGAGGAAAAUGGUACAGCCCUCCUCUUCCAUCUGGCUUUCCCCCCUCCGCCCUGUCCCCCCCCCCCCCCCAUCCCUUCAAGUGGUGUUGCCCUGGAAAUACCUAUGCAAUCCAGUCUCCCUAGGAGAGCGCAUGGAAGCAGGGGGUAUGUGCAGUGUAUCAUACAAAUGCUACAGCAUAUAUAUUGUAUAUAUGGACAUAUGCCGUACGUAUACACACAGAGUAAGAGAUUAAAUCACGUCUAUAUAUCUAUAAAUAAUAUCCUAUAUAUUUAUACAUUUCUAUGUUUUAAAUAGAUAUAAAAAUAGAGUCUAUAGAGAGCUGGGAGAGCAACGGGAAAGCCUGUCGCUAUGUUGUGCAAAGAGGGAGGAGGCAGGGCCUCUGCAGGGGGAGAUGUGGAAGCCAGGAGGGCACUGUCUGCCGGGAAUGGGGUCUCCUGCCCACAGUGCAGGACAGGAGAGUCCCCGGGCCUCUGCCCUCUCCGCGCACUUUCUCUCCUUUACCGCAGGCUUGGGCUGAGGUGGAAGGAGAUACUCGCCCUCUGAGCUCCAGCCGAAGUGCCCCCCACGUCCCCCCUCACCCCCUGCAGUCCGACACUUAGGUGGUCACUGCUGCUCGGCCCUGGGACGUGGUCUCUGGGCCCUGGUGGAGGGACCACUGCACAGUUUCCCCUAAUGCCCUCCCCCUACAGGAAUGAGCAGCGCUGGUGGCAACCGGAAAGGUGCACAUUGGACCCAGAGGGGCCCGGGGAGGAUGCCCUCCUUCCCCCCUUAGGUGCUUCUGCUGACCCCUAGAGGCCAAGCCUCUGAAGUGCGGCUGCUCCCGCCUCCUUCACCCCCUCCACCGCUGUCUGCCAGGGCGCUGCAGGGGUGAAGCAGGCGGCGUGAACAUCACCAGCCAGUGCUGCCCGCUACGUGGAGGCUUUCGGGCCAGGGCGGGGGGCGCCGGAGAAGGGCGGGAGCGGCAGACCCCCCGCACCCAGGGCUUCAGUGAAAACUCAAGUUCACAAGCAGGGCUUCGGCUCAGCCCGGUUUGCACAGCUGCUGUUGCUGGCUGUACUCAGGACAACGCUCUCCCCUCCCCCUCGUGGAGGCCCGUGACCCCUCCGCCCACCGCCACCGUAACAGGCAGGUUUAGUUCACGUACACUGUUCCGAUUCUGUGACUCGAGGCAGCGGCUGAGCCGGAUGCCCCGAGCUUAUCCGCUUCCACUGGGGAGGACGCCUUCCCUGGCUUUUAUCCCUGCUCCCGCCCCAGGCUGGGAAGGUGUGUCUGGGGCGUCUGGGGAGGCCGCUGGUGCAGCCGGCAGUGCCACCGAGGGCUUGCGUGGCCCCGACCAAAUCAGGAGCCCGUUCGCUUCCGGGUUUCUCUCCACCGUUUCGUUUCCCUGGAGGUAGGAGAGGAGGGGCCGACAGGGCUGCAGGUGAUAGGAGACAGCCAGCGGCCGCCCCCUCUCCUCCGGACCAGCCUAGGCCUUUCGGCUCUCCAAAGGCACUUACCUCUGUCCCCGAGCCUCCUCUGACCCCACGUCCUCCUCUUCCCUGCCAUCUACCAACGUACCUCAGUCUCCAGCAGACCCAACCUCUACACCUAUGGUCUGGGGCAGGUCUGUUUCGCCAAUGCCCACCUCUUCGCCCCUCCACGUCUGCCUGGGUCUCCUUGAGCCACAGCUGGCUGCCCACUGGGUCUCGGAAUCCCUUCCAGUGCCUCCAGAAAGACCAGGGCGGCCCGAGCCUUCCUGCCACGGUGGUGGGUCAGACCCGUGGCCAGGGGUGGGCAUCCCCGGGUAGCAAUCCACGAUGCACUGUACCUCAGAGAGAGAGCAUACCAUGGGCCUCACGGGCACCGUGCCUCCGUCCAGGCGAGGACAGCCGGUUACAGUAAAUACUGCUUGCGAGGAGACAAGGGCCAGGCUGCCCUCGGGCGCCCCUGCGUCUUCACUUUGGUCUCUCGGGAAGAGCCAGCAGGUCUGAUUUGCUCUGUUUCAGCCCUGUCUCUCUCCUUCUCUCCACCCCCACGCUGCUGAACCGAUUCAUUUCAAUCACAAAGGAAAACUAAGGUGGGGGGGGGGGAUACUUAGGAGUCUAUUAUCACACACAUAUUAAUAUGUUAAUACUUUCUUUCUUAAAAAAAAAAAAAACCUCUUGACAUUAUUUUGCAGACUACGCUUUAUAGUACCUGUGUGACGGGACCUAGAACACUGGAUACAAAUAGAGCUAUGUUGGUUUAUCAUAAUAUGUACGCAGAAACUUUCCUUUUGUCAUAUUAUCCUUGUAAUGUAAGAAGAUUGUUAAUAAAAGCAUUUAAAUUUA